AUUGAACGCUGGCGGCAUGCCUUACACAUGCAAGUCGAACGGUAACAGGUCUUCGGAUGCUGACGAGUGGCGAACGGGGGAGUAAUACAUCGGAACGUGCCCGAUCGUGGGGGUUAACGAGGCGAAAGCUUUGCUAAUACCGCAUACGAUCUACGGCUGACAGCGGGGGAUCUUCGGACCUCGCGCGGACGGAGCGGCCGAUGGCAGAUUAGGUAGUUGGUGGGAUAAAAGCUUACCAAGCCGACGAUCUGUAGCUGGUCUGAGAGGAUGAUCAGCCACACUGGGACUGAGACACGGCCCAGACUCCUACGGGAGGCAGCAGUGGGGAAUUUUGGACAAUGGGCGAAAGCCUGAUCCAGCCAUGCCGCGUGCAGGAUGAAGGCCUUUGGGUUGUAAACUGCUUUUGUACGGAACGAAAAGCCUCUUUCUAAUAAAGAGGUGUCAUGACGGUACCGUAAGAAUAAGCACCGGCUAACUACGUG
rnacentral:rRNA from 1 species